rnacentral:rRNA from 1 species
UCGGGAAUUUUGGGCAAUGGGCGAAAGCCUGACCCAGCAACGCCGCGUGAGGGAUGAAGUAUUUCGGUAUGUAAACCUCGAAAGAAUGGGAAGAAUAAAUGACGGUACCAUUUAUAAGCUCCGGCUAACUACGUGCCAGCAGCCGCGGUAAUACGUAGGGAGCAAGCGUUGUUCGGAUUUACUGGGCGUAAAGGGCGCGUAGGCGGCGCGGUAAGUCACUUGUGAAAUCUCUGAGCUUAACUCAGAACGGCCAAGUGAUACUGCUGUGCUAGAGUGCGGAAGAGGCAACCGGAAUUCUUGGUGUAGCGGUGAAAUGCUUAGAUAUCAAGAGGAACACCUGAGGCGAAGGCGGGUUGCUGGGCCGACACUGACGCUGAUGCGCGAAAGCCAGGGGAGCAAACG